rnacentral:tRNA from 1 species
GGAGCCGUGGCAGAGCGGUCCAAUGCGAUCGGCGUGGGGGAAGCCCCUCUCGCGUCGACUGGUGGGAACAGGGCGGGCCUUGCCCUUCCUCGCCCGCGGGUUCGAAUCCCGUCGGCGCCG